rnacentral:rRNA from 1 species
UAGGGAAUCUUCGGCAAUUGACGAAAGUCUGACCGAGCAACGCCGCGUGAGUGAAGAAGGUUUUCGGAUCGUAAAACUCUGUUGUUAGAGAAGAACAAGGACGUUAGUAACUGAACGUCCCCUGACGGUAUCUAACCAGAAAGCCACGGCUAACUACGUGCCAGCAGCCGCGGUAAUACGUAGGUGGCAAGCGUUGUCCGGAUUUAUUGGGCGUAAAGCGAGCGCAGGCGGUUUCUUAAGUCUGAUGUGAAAGCCCCCGGCUCAACCGGGGAGGGUCAUUGGAAACUGGGAGACUUGAGUGCAGAAGAGGAGAGUGGAAUUCCAUAUGUAGCGGUGAAAUGCGUAGAUAUAUGGAGGAACACCAGUGGCGAAGGCGGCUCUCUGGUCUGUAACUGACGCUGAGGCUCGAAAGCGUGGGGAGCAAACAGG